rnacentral:rRNA from 1 species
UACAGAGGAUGCAAGCGUUAUCCGGAAUGAUUGGGCGUAAAGCGUCUGUAGGUGGCUUUUUAAGUCCGCCGUCAAAUCCCAGGGCUCAACUCUGGACAGGCGGUGGAAACUACCAAGCUGGAGUACGGUAGGGGCAGAGGGAAUUUCCGGUGGAGCGGUGGAAAUGCGUAGAGAUCGGAAAGAACACCAACGGCGAAAAGCACUCUGCUGGCCGACACUGACACUGAGAGACGAAAGCUAGGGGAGCGAAUGGG